AUGGCAGAUUGGAAGUCAGUUUUAUCCGCAGCGGGAUUUAUUAUGCUAUGUUUUUUUGGAAUUCCAAUGAACAUCAACUCUCCCAGCCCUGCUGAAAAAGAACAGAGACUCCUGUUUCAUAGUUACGUCCACAAAUUCAACAAGCCGUACAAGCUCAAUGAUAGCGAGUACGAGCUCCGUUUUAGAACAUUUCAGACGGCCCUUAAAACAAUUGAAGAGUUGAACAAGGCCGCGACUCAAAUGAAAGUGCCUUGUAUGGUUUGACAGAGUUCUCGGAUAUCUCAGGAGAUGAAUUCUUGUCAAGACGACUGCUUCGAAAACUGGGCAAAAGACUGAAGCAUCGAAAGUUGGAAGAAGACACUAGUGGCGAAAAAAGACAAAGAUCGUCAUCACUACAAGCACAGAAAUCAUCAUGAGCAUCACAAUCAUGUUAGGAAGCGAGAUGUCUCUCCAGCAAUACCACCCAAAAAGACUGGUAGGAUAACAUACUGAAUAUUUUCCUCUUAUUUUCGAUGCAGAUAAUCAAUGAAGGACUGUUUAUUACAUUCUUUGCAUAAUCAAAACCAUAGGCGUAGCUAGGCCAUUUUGCUGGGGGGGGCCUGGCCCCCCACCACGGGGGGGUCUGGGGGUAUGGAAUACCCCCCAGGUCAGCGGGGGUCCGGGGGGCCUCCCCCGGAAAAUUUUUGAAAUUUUAACUCUAUUUGAGCGCAUCUCGAGGCACUUGUGGCGUUAAUCUUCCUUCAAUUUCUGCAUAAAAUUCACCCAGUUUUAUGCAUUUUAAGGUUAAAAUACUUUGAAAUUGUUGCAUUCAACAGGUUAUUCCAUUUAUUUUCUCACUUUUAACCACUCAUUUGUGUGAAAAUUGCGAAAUAAAUGUUUAGUGAAUGCCAGAAUCAUGUUCUGUAUUAGGAAAAGCCCAUGCAAAGUAAAAUAUAAUAUAAUGAGCAAGACGUAACUAUGAACGAAUGAGCAUUUGUCAUGUACCAAAAAUAAAGAUAUGAAUUAUGAAUUAGAAAAAGAAUUUCUGGGGGGGCCAGAUGAUACUAUUUCCAAUUUUGGGGGGGCCAGGCCCCCCCUGGCCCCCCCUUCCUACGCCACUGAUCAAAACACAACUGAAUGUGACUUCUGUAGACAAUCCAUUUGUUUAACCCUCAUAGGUGCACAUUAAUAUGCACAGAAAAGCCCUUUACCAGCCAAUUCUCAAGUCGCAAAGGCUAACAUGAGAGACAAAAUUUUUCAUGAUAGGUUAAAAAGAAAUAAAAAUACAAGCAAGAGUAAAAAUGCUGAAAUUUUAGAGCAUUCCACCUUCAGAAAACUGCCUCCUAUAAACCCAAAAGAUUUAUCAUUUCAUGUCUGCAGCGCAAAUUUUGUCUUUGUGCCCUCUGAAUGCCUGAAAAAUUUGCAACUAUGCCAUACUGUCUCAAAACUGAAAAAUGUACCAAGUAGGUGAAUUAACAUUAAUGCUAGGUAUGCACAGAAAGCAGGCGCCAUUGCAAGACCCUUAAACAUUAGAAUUUUUUAAAUAAAUAAAUGAAGUCCCCCAUAAAGAUGGUUGCGAGCACUGGUUUUCCCCUCCUUGUAUUUGAAAGUCGAAAAAAAUGCAAAAACAAGCCGCACUAUGACUUAAUUUGGAAGGUUCAAAACACCAAGUAAUGUUUUGUUAUUUGUAACAAGUUAGGACAGUAGUACUUAUCUUUUCGAUUUUUAUUAAUUACUUUUUUAAUUAAUUCUUUAUUCUUUUUAUUGAAUACUAUCUUUCUAAUUUGCUUGUUGUUUUAUUUUACAAGGCGAGAUACAGGUAUUAUCGGCAAAGUACGGGAUCAGAAGACUUGUGGUGCUUGUUGGGCAUUUAGCACGAUUGAAACAGUUGAGUCUAUGUAUGCCAUGACAAAUGGUUCUUUCAAGGAACUUAGUGUACAAGAGUAAGUGUCAAAAAUCAAGAAAUUUAGUUUUUUUAUCCUCACAAACUGUCCCCUUCACUUUUAGUAUACCUCACAUUGGUGCCAAUGUU
rnacentral:lncRNA from 1 species